AUUGAACGCUGGCGGCAGGCCUAACACAUGCAAGUCGAGCGGCAGCGGGACCUUCGGGUUGCCGGCGAGCGGCGGACGGGUGAGUAAUGCCUAGGAAUCUGCCUGUUAGUGGGGGAUAACGCGGGGAAACUCGCGCUAAUACCGCAUACGUCCUACGGGAGAAAGCGGGGGCUCUUCGGACCUCGCGCUAACAGAUGAGCCUAGGUCGGAUUAGCUAGUUGGUGGGGUAAUGGCCCACCAAGGCGACGAUCCGUAACUGGUCGGAGAGGAUGAUCAGUCACCCUGGACCUGAGACACGGUCCAGACUCCUACGGGAGGCAGCAGUGGGGAAUAUUGGACAAUGGGCGAAAGCCUGAUCCAGCCAUGCCGCGUGUGUGAAGAAGGUCUUCGGAUUGUAAAGCACUUUAAGUCGGGAGGAAGGGCUGUAGGCUAAUACCUUGCAGUUUUGACGUUACCGACAGAAUAAGCACCGGCUAACUUCGUGCCAGCCGCCGCCGUAA
rnacentral:rRNA from 1 species